UUGUAAAGUGAAGGUAAUGUGUUCAAGACUUAGACAAAAAGAACAUGAAUUUUUUUAAAUGUGCAAGACAAUUUUUAUUUGACAACAGUCAUGUACCGCGGCAAUACUAUCUUUAUAAAUUUCUCUUUAUUCUGUCAUUAGUUUUAGGUGCAAUUUUUAUAAUAGGUGCAGUUAUACUUGCUAUGAAAGUGCCACUUUCUAUGGUUGAUAAGAAUCCGCAAACAAAUCUUACAAUCAAUAGUAAAGAAAAUUCCAGUAGUGUUGAAGAUUAUGACUUAAAUGAAUAUGUUUUCACGGAGUAACCAAGUUUUAUAGAUAUAUAGAUUAAUCGUUGAAAUUUAAUUACAAGACGUUAUUUUGUACUUUUUUAAAUAAAUAUAAACAUAUUUUACUGUUA